UGCAGUCCGACGUGAAGGGGAGCAAUCCCCCGGUAGGGUGGCAAACGGGUGAGUAAGACAUGGGUGAUCUGCCCUGGAGAUGGGGAUAUCCCUCCGAAAGGGGGGGCAAUACCGAAUAGUAUCCGGUUCCGUGAAGGGGACCGGGGAAAGGGAGGCCUCUGGUACAAGCUUCCGCUCCUGGAUGAGCCCAUGGCCCAUCAGCUAGUUGGUAGGGUAAAGGCCUACCAAGGCGACGACGGGUAGCUGGUCUGAGAGGACAACCAGCCACACUGGCACUGAGACACGGGCCAGACUCCUACGGGAGGCAGCAGUGAGGAAUAUUGCGCAAUGGGGGCAACCCUGACGCAGCAACGCCGCGUGUGGGAAGAAGGCUUUCGGGUUGUAAACCACUUUUGCCCGGGACGAAAAGGGAUGUCAGAACACGGCAUUUCGAUGACGGUACCGGGAGAAUAAGCCACGGCUAACUCUGUGCCAGCAGCCGCGGUAAGACAGAGGUGGCAAGCGUUGUUCGGAAUUACUGGGCGUAAAGAGUCUGUAGGUGGUUUGUCAAGUCUUUGGUGAAAGGCCGUGGCUUAACCAUGGGAAUGCCAAAGAGACUGGCAGACUAGAGGCUGGGAGAGGGAA
rnacentral:rRNA from 1 species